UUCCUAUUUGGCCUAGACUGUGUUCAAGU
rnacentral:piRNA from 1 species